UGUCGACGUUUUCUUCCUGCCACGCUGGGAGGACUACAGUGAUGAACCGACUCCAGAGGACCUCAUAGACUUUAUCCAGACAGUCCGCAAAGAGGUGAAUGAGUCCUUUCGUGACCAUCCUGUCAUUGUGCACUGCAGUUCUGGAAUUGAAAGAUCGGGUGCGUUCAUAGCACUCGACUACUUCCAACGGUGGAUAGAAACCCAUGGCCUGGACGCUGAAAUCGAUGUGUUUAGCUUUGUGCUGCAGAUGAGACAGAAUCGCUAGAUGAUGGUACGGGGAAUGGCUCAAUACGAAUUAAUAUACGAUACCUUGGCCGUCAUGGUUCAAAAGAAGAUAGAUGGUCUACCGGCCAAAGCAGAACAUGUAUACAAGAGUGCAUCUA